rnacentral:rRNA from 1 species
GACGAACGCUGGCGGCGUGCCUAAUACAUGCAAGUUGAGCGCUGAAGGUUGGUACUUGUACCAACUGGAUGAGCAGCGAACGGGUGAGUAACGCGUGGGGAAUCUGCCUUUGAGCGGGCGACAACAUUUGGAAACGAAUGCUAAUACCGCAUAAAAACUUUAAACACAAGUUUUAAGUUUGAAAGAUGCAAUUGCAUCACUCAAAGAUGAUCCCGCGUUGUAUUAGCUAGUUGGUGAGGUAAAGGCUCACCAAGGCGAUGAUACAUAGCCGACCUGAGAGGGUGAUCGGCCACAUUGGGACUGAGACACGGCCCAAACUCCUACGGGAGGCAGCAGUAGGGAAUCUUCGGCAAUGGACGAAAGUCUGACCGAGCAACGCCGCGGGAGUGAAGAAGGUUUUCGGAUCGUAAAACUCUGUUGGUAGAGAAGAACGUUGGUGAGAGUGGAAAGCUCAUCAAGUGACGGUAACUACCCAGAAAGGGACGGCUAACUACGUG